GACGAACGCUGGCGGCGUGCUUAACACAUGCAAGUCGAGCGGUAAGGCCCUUUCGGGGGUACACGAGCGGCGAACGGGUGAGUAACACGUGGGUGACCUGCCCUCAGCUCUGGGAUAAGCCUGGGAAACCGGGUCUAAUACUGGAUAUGACUCCAUGACGCAUGUUGUGGGGUGGAAAGCCUUGUGCGGCUGGGGAGUGGGCCCGCGGCCUAUCAGCUUGUUGGUGGGGUGAUGGCCUACCAAGGCGACGACGGGUAGCCGGCCUGAGAGGGCGACCGGCCACACUGGGACUGAGACACGGCCCAGACUCCUACGGGAGGCAGCAGUGGGGAAUCUUGCGCAAUGGGCGAAAGCCUGACGCAGCGACG
rnacentral:rRNA from 1 species